GCCACAGAUGACAAUUUUUCUUUCCUUGAGCGCCUCAUGAUUAGUGAUUGCUAUAAUUUGGAAGAGAUACCCAUUGAGUUUGCAGAUAUCAACACACUACAUCUGAUUGAGUUAGAAGGCUGUAAGACCGCGCUCGAGGCUUCUACUGCACAAAUUCAACAAGACCAGGAAAACCUUAGAAUGGAACCAGUGCAUGUUCGGAGAAGAUGCAGACGAUGAGGAUGAGGAUGAGGAUGAUGAGACGACAACGACGAUGAGGAUGACGGUGAUGGUGGUGGUGUUGAUUAUGAGUUAACAUUAAUAUCGUGUCUCACGUAAUUAGGGAAAAGAUGAGGCAGGAUGCGUUAACCAGGUGACGAGUUCAUCAAUAUUAUUUAUCAGAUAGCAUAAACUCCUAAAAAUUGCUUUUGAAACUAAAUGCAUGUGUUCCUUUUCUUAAUGUUCACAGAACUUUCCCAUAA